rnacentral:tRNA from 1 species
CGACCAGUGCCGCACGGACCUGGGCGGGCAUCGGGUUCGUGGCGCGCUGGAGUGUCGGCCGUUUCGGGGUGGCCAUGGUUCGCUCCUGUUUGGUCGCC